rnacentral:misc_RNA from 1 species
UAAUAAUGGUGGUGCAAAUUAAAAACUCCAUUUUCUCUUAUUUGUCUGUUUGUUCCUCAAACCCCAUCUUAGUACUACUAAAGAAUUUUCAUAAGAAGGAAAGAAAAAUUGGAACUUUAUGAUAUUGAAUUAGUUAACUGAAAAGAAACAGAAAUAUAAUAGUGAGUUGCCAAGAGUGCACGCCAAGUGUUUGUUCAUUUUACACCUUUCUUUAAAGCAUUAGAAGAGCAAAUUAAGUGACCUACCAAUUUG